rnacentral:rRNA from 1 species
UACAGGGGGUGCAAACGUUGCUCGGAAUUAUUGGGCGUAAAGCGCGCGUAGGCGGCUACUUAAGUCGGAUGUGAAAGCCCUUGGCUCAACUGAGGAAGUGCACCCGAAACUGAGUGGCUAGAGUACGAAAGAGGGUCGCGGAAUUCCCGGUGUAGAGGUGAAAUUCGUAGAUAUCGGGAGGAACACCGGUGGCGAAGGCGGGUCUCUGGGCCGAUACUGACGCUGAGGAGCGAAAGCGUGGGGAGCGAACAGG